UUGACCUCGGAUCAGGUAGGGUUACCCGCUGAACUUAAGCAUAUCAAUAAGCGGAGGAAAAGAAACCAACAGGGAUUGCCUCAGUAACGGCGAGUGAAGCGGCAACAGCUCAAAUUUGAAAUCUGGUCCCCUUUGGGGGCCCGAGUUGUAAUUUGAAGAGGAUGCUUUUGGCGAGGCGCCGUCCGAGUUCCCUGGAACGGGACGCCGCAGAGGGUGAGAGCCCCGUACGGUCGGACGCCGAGCCUCUGUAAAGCUCCUUCGACGAGUCGAGUAGUUUGGGAAUGCUGCUCAAAAUGGGAGGUAAACCCCUUCUAAAGCUAAAUACCGGCCAGAGACCGAUAGCGCACAAGUAGAGUGAUCGAAAGAUGAAAAGCACUUUGAAAAGAGAGUUAAAAAGCACGUGAAAUUGUUAAAAGGGAAGCGCUUGCGACCAGACUUGCGCCCGUCGGAUCAACCGUCGCUUGCGGCGGCGCACUCCGGCGGGCUCAGGCCAGCAUCAGUUCGCUCGGGGGGAGAAAGGCGGCGGGAAUGUAGCUCCUCGGAGUGUUAUAGCCCGCCGUGUAAUACCCUCGGGUGGACUGAGGACCGCGCGUAUGCAAGGAUGC
rnacentral:rRNA from 1 species